rfam:Triticum aestivum genome assembly, contig: Triticum_aestivum_CS42_TGACv1_scaffold_423671_5BS
ACAUGAUAUGAUGCAUGAGAUUAAUUUCCCUAUUGGUUUGAUUAGCUGAUAUGGUGGCCUAAAAUAAUGACCGAGUCUGAUCAUCC